rnacentral:rRNA from 1 species
AUGAAUAAAAGAAACAAGACAUUGAAUUAUUUUUUUCAAGUUCGGACCACGGGAACCACAGAAACAGGUCCUUCAACUCGAACAACUGAUAAUGCCCCUAGUGUUAUAGCUCAACUUAAACCCGGUGAUAUUGAAUCCGACCCUCGUAAGAGAAUUCCGAUUGAGGAUUUGGAUGCAGAUAUUAGAGAUCUUGCUAGAAGGGAGUACAUUAGUAUGGGUCCAUGCCAACCAACUGAUCAUACAUAUGAACGGUUAAAUGGUAGAAGCUUUCAUGAUUAUUGGUUCAAUGAUCAUCGUGGCUGGUUGGAAUAUAGCAUUGACAAAAAAAAUCAGCUUUUUGCUUCUAUUGUUUUUUGUUUAAGCAACCAAGAGCUGAAAACUGUGGUAUUGAAGCAUUCGCAAAAAAUGCAUUUAAAUCUUGGAAGGAUGGACCUAAAGUUUUUAAUCAGCAUGUUGGCAAGCAUGAUAGUGCUCACAAUAAAUCUAGACAACAUUACGAUGACUUCAAAAAUCAAAGACAAAAUAUGCCACAUGUGUUUGAUAGGGGUUCUAACAAGAAAGAAGAAGAAUACAAAGCUCGUCUCUUGA